rnacentral:rRNA from 1 species
AACGAACGCUGGCGGCAUGCCUAACACAUGCCAGUCGAACGAGACCUUCGGGUCUAGUGGCGCACGGGUGCGUAACGCGUGGGAACCUGCCCUUAGGUUCGGAAUAACUCCCCGAAAGGGGUGCUAAUACCGGAUAAUGUCUUCGGACCACAGAUUUAUCGCCUUUGGAUGGGCCCGCGUUGGAUUAGCUAGUUGGUAGGGUAAAAGCCUACCAAGGCGACGAUCCAUAGCUGGUCUGAGAGGAUGAUCAGCCACACUGGGACUGAGACACGGCCCAGACUCCUACGGGAGGCAGCAGUGGGGAAUAUUGGACAAUGGGCGAAAGCCUGAUCCAGCAAUGCCGCGUGAGUGAUGAAGGCCUUAGGGUUGUAAAGCUCUUUUACCCGGGAUGAUAAUGACAGUACCGGGAGAAUAAGCUCCGGCUAACUCCGUG